UACAGAGGUCCCGAGCGUUAUUCGGAUUCACUGGGCGUAAAGGGUGCGUAGGUGGUGAGGUAAGUCGGAUGUGAAAGCUCGGAGCUCAACUCCGAAACGGCAUUGGAAACUACCUUGCUCGAGGGUUGGAGGGGGGACUGGAAUACUUGGUGUAGCAGUGAAAUGCGUAGAUAUCAAGUGGAACACCAGUGGCGAAGGCGAGUCCCUGGACAACUCCUGACACUGAGGAACGAAAGCUAGGGGAGCGAAUGGG
rnacentral:rRNA from 1 species